CCCCAGACUCCUACGGGAGGCAGCAGUGGGGGAUAUUGCACAAUGGGGGAAACCCUGAUGCAGCGACGCCGCGUGGGUGAAGAAGUAUUUCGGUAUGUAAAGCCCUAUCAGCAGGGAAGAAAGAAGACGGUACCUGACUAAGAAGCCCCGGCUAACUACGUGCCAGCAGCCGCGGUAAUACGUAGGGGGCGAGCGUUAUCCGGAUUCACUGGGUGUAAAGGGAGCGUAGACGGCCGUGCAAGCCAGGAGUGAAAGCCCGGGGCCCAACCCCGGGACUGCUCUUGGAACUGUGCGGCUGGAGUGCGGGAGGGGCAGGCGGAAUUCCUAGUGUAGCGGUGAAAUGCGUAGAUAUUAGGAGGAACACCAGUGGCGAAGGCGGCUUACUGGACUGUAACUGACACUGAGGCACGAAAGCGUGGGGAGCAAACAGGAUUAGAUACCCCCGUA
rnacentral:rRNA from 1 species